UACGUAGGGGGCAAGCGUUGUCCGGAAUCAUUGGGCGUAAAGAGCGUGUAGGCGGCUCGGUAAGUCCGCUGUGAAAGUCCAGGGCUCAACCCCGGAAUGCCGGUGGAAACUGUCGAGCUAGAGUCCGGAAGAGGCGAGUGGAAUUCCUGGUGUAGCGGUGAAAUGCGCAGAUAUCAGGAAGAACACCCAUGGCGAAGGCGG
rnacentral:rRNA from 1 species